GCGAUGAUGAGGUGAAUUGCAGAGUCGGCAAGGCUAGUUCUCGCUGCACUGCUCCUCCAAACCACGACAAUUUCCAACGUAGUAACGUAUCAUUCAGUUACACUACGUGUUCUUAUCGUAUUGGUUUCUCUUUCACCUGUUCCUUACUUAACCCUCCUCCAUACCUUCUUCUCUUUCCCCCUGUCAUUUCCAUACCUUAUUCUUCACACUUCUUUUCCAUCACAUACUUCCCACCAUGGCUGAAAAGGUCACCGUAAUGAGACUCAAGGUUGAUCUCCAGUGCCACAAAUGCUACAAGAAGGUCAAGAGAAUUCUCUGCAAAUUCCCUCAAAUUCGAGACCAGUUUUAUGACGAGAAGCAUGACAUCGUCACCAUAACGGUGGUAUGCUGUAACCCGGAGAAGCUCAGGGACAAGAUUUGCUGCAAAGGCUGUGGGACUAUCAAAAGCAUUGAAAUCGUCGAACCGCCCAAGCCCAAACCACCCGAGAAGCCUAAGCCUGAAAAACCCACCGAACCGGUGAAGCCAGAGAAGCCCAAGCCCGAAAAACCCAUCGAACCGGUGAAGCCAGAGAAGCCCAAGCCCGAAAAGCCCCCUCCCCCGACGAAACCGAAUCCGCCCGCUCCAGAGCCGGUGGCUCCGCCCGCUCCAGUGCCGGUGGCUCCGCCCGCUCCGGUGCCGGUGCCGGUUCCGGUGCCAGCGCCGCCGCCAAGGCCGGUGCCUUGUCCGGUUCCAGAGCCGCCGCCAAGGCCGGUUCCGAUCGGAGUAUGCUGUGUACCAUGCUAUGAAGGUCAGGGAGGUGGACCAUGCUUUCAUGGGCACGGUGGGCCACCACCAUGUUAUGAUAUUUGUUAUGGAAGACCUAUUUACGACAGUUACGGUGGGUGCAGACCCUGUUACGUGAGCCGUUGCGAUGAAUAUUUCUGUGAAGAUAACGCCUCUGCCUGCUCAAUUAUGUGAUCGUCAUCUCCACGAUCACCUUCUGUUUAUUCAUCGAUUCUGUCAUCUGUGCUGUGCCGCUCAUGCAUGCAAUCAUCAACCCAAGGAAUAAUAAUCUUCUUUGUCUUUUUCAGUUUCCAUUGCAUUUGGUGCCGGUGGGGCUUCGAAUUAAAUGGUGGGCGGCUAAUCUCUAUAUAACAACGACACCACCUUGAAUUAUCAAUAUGCUUUUUUGACAAAACAAAGGUAACUUUUUAGCUCCAAUAACACCACUAAUAAUAUUGAAUAAUUAGUCAGUGUCAUGAUAAAUACUCUCAAUUAUUUCCAUUUUGCGUUUACACGGGCUUCGGUUACUCGAUUUGGUGAUGCUCGAUUUUCUUAUGAAAGUAAACCUAACAAAUUCUUUCUUGUUGGUUUCUGGUUACAAACAACAAAAAAUAUAAAUAAGAAUGACACUGGUUUGUUUGUAUUUACAUUAGGAAAUUCUUGUUUUUCACUUGGUAUUUUGCUGGGGGAAUUUUGGGUGAGGAAGGUGACGAUUUAAUGAUGUUAUUGCACGUUGUCUUUUAGAGAAAGAUGAAUGCGCUUUGCCUGCUCAUGCUUUAGUGGUUACUGAACAAUGACUUCAUCGGACAGUGACAAGUUGGCAACCAUGUUCUCUUCUUUCCUACCCAACAACUUAUGAUGUAAUUUGUAUAAAUAGAUGGAUAUGGAUCCAUAUACGCGGAAUCACCGUCGAUCCAAAACACAUCUACUUUAAUUUUGCCUCUUUAAACAGAGAAGGAGAAAAAAUAAAACUUGAAAUGGUUUCUUA